rnacentral:rRNA from 1 species
AGUGAACGCUGGCGGUAGGCCUAACACAUGCAAGUCGAACGGCAGCACAGUAAGAGCUUGCUCUUACGGGUGGCGAGUGGCGGACGGGUGAGGAAUACAUCGGAAUCUACUUUUUCGUGGGGGAUAACGUAGGGAAACUUACGCUAAUACCGCAUACGACCUACGGGUGAAAGCAGGGGAUCUUCGGACCUUGCGCGAUAGGAUGAGCCGAUGUCGGAUUAGCUAGUUGGCGGGGUAAAGGCCCACCAAGGCGACGAUCCGUAGCCGGUCUGUGAGGAUGGGCGGCGACACUGGGGGUGAGACACGGUGGAGAAUAGUGGGGGAGGGCGGCGUGGGGGAUACAGCCAUACGGGGGGGAGGAAGAGGGCGUGCGGGUGGGAGGGCCAUGUUGGUGUUAAGAAAGGGAAGCAGUUUAGUACGCGACGAUUCUGACGGUACCCAAAGAGAAAGCACCGGCUAACUUCGUG